rnacentral:rRNA from 1 species
UCAGGAUGAACGCUAGCGACAGGCCUAACACAUGCAAGUCGAGGGGCAGCACAGGAGCAAUCUGAGGUGGCGACCGGCGCACGGGUGAGUAACACGUAUGCAACCUGCCUGUAAGCGGGGAAUAACCCGUUGAAAGACGGACUAAUACCGCAUAAUACUAAAUUACUGCAUGGUAAUUUAUUUAAACAUUUAUGGCUUACAGAUGGGCAUGCGCAUGAUUAGCUAGUUGGAGAGGUAACGGCUCCCCAAGGCAACGAUCAUUAGGGUUCUGAGAGGAAGGUCCCCCCACACUGGUACUGAGACACGGACCAGACUCCUACGGGAGGCAGCAGUGAGGAAUAUUGGUCAAUGGACGAGAGUCUGAACCAGCCAAGUCGCGUGCAGGAAGAAUUGUCCUAUGGAUUGUAAACUGCUUUUGCAGGGGAAUAAAGUGCAUCACGUGUGAUGUUUUGUAUGUACUCUGCGAAUAAGGAUCGGCUAACUCCGUGCCAGCCGCAGC